rnacentral:rRNA from 1 species
UACGAAGGGGGCUAGCGUUGUUCGGAAUUACUGGGCGUAAAGGGCGCGUAGGCGGUGUGUCAAGUCAGGCGUGAAAGCCCCGGGCUCAACCUGGGAACCGCGCUUGAGACUGGCACGCUCGAGUUCGGGAGAGGAUGGUGGAAUUCCCAGUGUAGAGGUGAAAUUCGUAGAUAUCAGGAGGAACACCGAUGGCGAAGGCAGCUCGCUGGGACGGUACUGACGCUGAGGCGCGAAAGCGUGGGGAGCAAACAGG